UACAGAGGUCCCAAGCGUUGUUCGGAUUCAUUGGGCGUAAAGGGUGCGUAGGCGGUGAAGUAAGUCUGGUGUGAAAUCCCGGGGCUCAACCCCGGAACUGCACUGGAUACUGCUUUACUAGAGUACUGGAGAGGGAACUGGAAUUUACGGUGUAGCAGUGAAAUGCGUAGAUAUCGUAAGGAAGACCAGUGGCGAAGGCGAGUUCCUGGACAGUUACUGACGCUGAGGCACGAAGGCCAGGGGAGCAAACGGG
rnacentral:rRNA from 1 species